UACGGAGGGUGCGAGCGUUAAUCGGAAUUACUGGGCGUAAAGCGCACGCAGGCGGGCUGUCAAGUCGGAUGUGAAAUCCCCGGGCUCAACCCGGGAACUGCAUUCGAAACUGGCAGACUAGAGUCUUGUAGAGGGGGGUAGAAUUCCAGGUGUAGCGGUGAAAUGCGUAGAGAUGUGGAGGAAUACCGAUGGCGAAGGCAGCCCCCUGGACAUAGACUGACGCUCAGGUGCGAAAGCGUGGGGAGCAAACAGG
rnacentral:rRNA from 1 species